CCGACAAGCGGUGGAGCAUGUGGUUUAAUUCGACGCAACGCGAAGAACCUUACCUGGGCUUGACAUCCCGAUCGUACCUGCUGGAAACAGCGGGGUCAGUUCGGCUGGAUCGGAGACAGGUGCUGCAUGGCUGUCGUCAGCUCGUGUCGUGAGAUGUUGGGUUAAGUCCCGCAACGAGCGCAACCCUUGUCAUUAGUUGCCAUCAUUUAGUUGGGCACUCUAAUGAGACUGCCGGUGACAAACCGGAGGAAGGUGGGAUGACGUCAAAUCAUCAUGCCCCUUAUGUUCUGGGCUACACACGUGCUACAAUGGCCGGUACAGACGGAGGCGAAGCCGCGAGGCGGAGCAAAUCCGAAAAAGCCGGUCUCAGUUCGGAUUGCAGGCUGCAAUUCGCCUGCAUGAAGUCGGAAUCGCUAGUAAUCGCAGGUCAGCAUACUGCGGUGAAUACGUUCCCGGGCCUU
rnacentral:rRNA from 1 species